rnacentral:tRNA from 1 species
GGGUCGUUAGCUCAGUUGGUAGAGCAGUUGACUUUUAACCAAUUGGCCGCAGGUUCGAAUCCUGCACGCCCCA